ACACAUUCUAGAGCCUAAUUCAUUUCAAUUAACAAUUGAAAUUACAUUCAAAUCCAAAUUUUAAACCUUAAUGCUAAGGCUCAUCCUUAAAUAAAUUUAUUGUAAUCCAUCACUACUUCAAUAAGCUGCACCUUGAUCUGAUUUUUAAUAUAGUAAUAUAUUCAAAUUAUAUAUUUCCAAAAAUAAUUAACAACGACGAUAUACAAGCAAAAUUAAAGUUUUAUUAAUCGUGGAUUAUCGAUUACAGGACAGAUUCCCCUGAUUGGAAUAAAAAACCGCCAAAUUUUUUGAUUUUAAAGAACAUAACUUAUACUUAUCAGGUCUAUUAUUCAACACCUAGAAUAAUGGGGUAUCUAAUCCCAGUUUAUUGUCUAGAUUUCUUAACCUCAUAACCAAAAAUUUAAUUAAAUAUAAAAUAGGAUUUCACCCAAUAUUCCACUAAAAUAAAAAUUAAUUUUUACUAAUUAAGUAUAUUAACCGAAAAAAAAAUAGUAGCACUAUUUGUCUAACCGCA
rnacentral:rRNA from 1 species